CCUACGGGCGGCUGCAGUGGGGAAUUUUGGACAAUGGGCGAAAGCCUGAUCCAGCAAUGCCGCGUGAGUGAAGAAGGCCUUCGGGUUGUAAAGCUCUUUUGUUUGGGAAGAAAUCCCUAAGGAUAAUACCCUUGGGGGAUGACGGUACCAAAAGAAUAAGCACCGGCUAACUACGUGCCAGCAGCCGCGGUAAUACGUAGGGUGCAAGCGUUAAUCGGAAUGACUGGGGGCGGUGUGUGAGGAGGCGGUUGAAAUCCCCGGGCUCAACUUGGGAACUGCCCUUGUGACUGCAAGACUAGAGUGUGUCAGAGGGAGGUAGAAUUCCACGUGUAGCAGUGAAAUGCGUAGAUAUGUGGAGGAAUACCAGUGGCGAAGGCGGCCUCCUGGGAUAACACUGACGCUCAUGUACGAAAGCGUGGGGAGCAAACAGGAUUAGAUACCCUUGUAGUC
rnacentral:rRNA from 1 species